rnacentral:rRNA from 1 species
GACGAACGCUGGCGGCGUGCUUAACACAUGCAAGUCGAACGGAAAGGCCCUGCUUUUGUGGGGUGCUCGAGUGGCGAACGGGUGAGUAACACGUGAGUAACCUGCCCUUGACUUUGGGAUAACUUCAGGAAACUGGGGCUAAUACCGGAUAGGAGCUCCUGCUGCAUGGUGGGGGUGGGAAAGUUUCGGCGGUUGGGGAUGGACUCGCGGCUUAUCAGCUUGUUGGUGGGGUAGUGGCUUACCAAGGCUUUGACGGGUAGCCGGCCUGAGAGGGUGACCGGCCACCUUGGGCCUGCGAUACGGCCCAGACUCCUACGUGAGGCAGCAGUCGGGAAUAUUGCACAAUGGGCGCAAGCCUGUUGCAGCAACGCCGCGUUCGGGAUGACGGCCUUCGGGUUGUAAACCGCUUUCGCCUGUGACGAAGCGUGAGUGACGGUAAUGGGUAAAGAAGCACCGGCUAACUACGUG